ACAAGCCGGCAAGAAACUAGGAGGCAGGGCUUCGCCGAUGACGGCAGCCAAUGAAAAACCACAGAACGCCCCAACUGCAGACUGGGAUAUUUCAAGGAGUCCCGGACAAAGAUGAAGCCGUAAUAGAAUUUGUUCUAGCGCCGUGCUGAUUGGAAUUUACAUCAUUUCUACAGCAGGUGGCAACACAUCAUAAUGUAAGGCACCAGCAAAAUGAUGGAUGAUCACAUGGAGCAAAUAAAGUGAUUGAAAUGCAUAACAAAUCUUGAGAAAAAGCAAUUGUAAACUGAGGGUUACUAAAGCAGUGUUGAUAAAGAUUUUGUAUCACUAUCAAAUAGGUUUUGUUCUUGUAAUAAAUGCAAGUGUGAGGUUCCAGAAGAUAAUAAAGAACAGGAGCAAAUGAAUAACAAUAAAAGAUACACAGCUCUAUAUAAUGCCAGUGAGACUAUACACAAUUACAAUAAAUAUAAAUCACUUCUCCUUUGAGAAGUUUGUAACCAGAUAAAUACGUCAUAGUAUAUUUUUUUCUUCAUUCCUCCAAUAUGGAUGUGUUGUAUUUUUAAUGUUUAAAUCUACUGUACAGAAAUGUUAUUUGUUCCUAAUGAAUAGGAAUUAAUGCAUUGAUAUACUUGUAAUAGAAAAAGAUCCACUAAUAAAAUAUGCUUUCUUAAAUGAC